UUCCCUUCCAUCUUUUCACACCAAAUACAUUCCUGCGUCUCUCUGAAGCACCGACUUGAUGUCUAAAUCGAUUUAAAUCCACGCUGUUGUGAUAAAGUAACCAAAGCGGGGCAAGCACGCUAGCACGGAUUCCCCCCGCAAGGUUGGUGGAGUCCAAAGUUUGUUGACGUCACACGUCUCUGAGCCCCGCCUAUCCGCGGAGCUUCUGAGAAGUGGCUCGGAGUCAAGACGUCGAAAGUCUACAUAAGGAGACUGAACGAUGGCAUAAACCUUUGUGUGUGCGUGGAGGUGUGUAGGGGGGGGGGCGGGGGGGGUCGUGGACAGCAAAUUCGAGGCUUUUUUAUAUCGACUUGAAUUCGUGACAAGAUGGUUGGUUAAUCGUGGUCGUGUUUGCUGUCAAACUAGAUGCACGUUUUCGUCGUCGGCAGGAGAUGAGGGAAGUGGCGCACUUGUUGCAUGUCCGUGAACGCGUCAUCGGGGACAGAAGUGUGGCAACGGUGACAGAACUUUAAAGUUGAGACGCGUUUGUAAAAACAGGGAAAAGCAAAACUUUGGAAUUGAGAGUAAAUCGGACUUUUUAAUUGAGAGUUUGUGAAUUAUUAGGCCUUAUUUUUGUCCUGUAUUUAAAAAGAUUCUCUUGAUCGAUCGUCUUGUACACUUUUUAUAAAUUUAAAAUAAAUAGUAAAAUAAAUUUAUUUUCCUGUGGCUAUUAAUAUUUUAAAAUUGUUAUACUAAGUUUUACGAUGUACUGUGUUUUAAAUUUUGUUUCUAUCAUUUAAUUUUAUUGGAAUUUUGUGGCACUAUAUUUGUGUCCAGUACCUCAUGUAAUGUAAUGUUCAAUGACAGUUUUGUAUCUGUAAAUUUUACUUUUAUUUCAACUCGUGUGACAUAUUUUUUUAUUGCGGUCAUAUAAUCUAGAUUUUAGAGUUUUGGGAUUUAAUUAUAUUGAAUUCAAGUUUUUACAGUG